rnacentral:rRNA from 1 species
AACGGCUCUUCGGAGCAGUGGCGCACGGGUGAGUAACGCGUGGGAACCUACCUCGAGGUACGGAAUAACGGCUGGAAACGGCCGCUAAUACCGUAUGUGUCCUAAGGGAGAAAGAUUUAUCGCCUUGAGAGGGGCCCGCGUCCGAUUAGCUAGUUGGUGAGGUAAUGGCUCACCAAGGCUGUGAUCGGUAGCUGGUCUGAGAGGAUGAUCAGCCACACUGGGACUGAGACACGGCCCAGACUCCUACGGGAGGCAGCAGUGGGGAAUAUUGGACAAUGGGCGAAAGCCUGAUCCAGCAAUGCCGCGUGUGUGAUGAAGGCCUUAGGGUUGUAAAGCACUUUCGCCGAUGACGAUGAUGACGGUAGUCGGAUAAGAAGCCCCGGCUAACUCCGUGCCAGCAGCCGCGGUAAUACGGAGGGGGCGAGCGUUGUUCGGAAUUACUGGGCGUAAAGGGCGCGUAGGCGGCCAUGUCAGUUGGGAGUGAAAGCCCCGGGCUCAACCUGGGAACUGCUCUCAAUACUGCGUGGCUUGAGAACGGGAGAGGGUAGUGGAAUUCCCAGUGUAGAGGUGAAAUUCGUAGAUAUUGGGAAGAACACCAGUGGCGAAGGCGGCUGCCUGGCCCGUUCUGAC